GCCGCCUUUCAUACCAUCAGAGGUGACCUAGAUGAUUCCUUCUCCUGGUCCCGGAAUUCUAUAAAUUUGUCUUCGAAACUUUAAAAUUAUUAACUUUAUUUCAUCUGAUAGUUAGUCACAGAUGUGACAGUUGUGUAAGAUUGUUGCCGGACAGCGGUACACCAAGUCUCUUUCCAGUGAGCAGAGGACGGCUCAGAUCGCAGCUUGCAAGCAGGGCUCAAAAGAUCGGGAGAAAAUUUGUGAAAAAGCUAGUCGAAUAUUAGCAUUAGAUUAGUUUACUUCGGGUGUUGUUUCAUUGAUGUUUGUGUAAGAAUUAAUCAUUGUUAUCUGUUGACGAACGUGCUGCUGUUUUAUGUCCACGCCUUGGAUGUGAGGAAGUUCAUUCUGCCAAACCAGUCGCUUAGUUUGAACUGCUUCUUGACAAUAAGUUGGCUACUGUGAAUGGCAGGAUACUACCUCCCCCUCAGGUAUUCCAAUUGCACUGCCCUUAGUUCAUAUGACUGGCAGCUUGAUCAGUUGUUUUGUAACGUCGAAUUGAGGGCGACGCACCUAAAGCUAUAUGUUUAUAUGUGCACCACUCAUUUGUUUCUUUUCAUUUAAAUGCUUUCAUUUGGAAAUGGGAGGGCAGAGGGACCUCGAGAAGGUCGCUGGAACUUCAGAAAACACGGAGGUUUGGUUUUGCUUUGGUCACAUCGGUCUAUUUUUGAGAUGGGGUAGUCUUUCUGAACCAUGGCCUUAAUUUCGUGUCAUCUGGGUUCGAUUGCAGACCAUGCACAAGGGUGUCAUAAAUAGAUCCCUGGGCUGUUGCUGUCUUUGAUGAUCGCUGCCAUGACGGGAAUCACAUUGGAAUGCAGUUGAUGGAAGUUAGCUGCAGACAAGGACUGAUGAUGGGGAAGCCAGCGGGAGUGGAAAAAGAGCCACAUAAUGCACAAAACCUGGCAAUUGAGAGACGAGUAGAAUUUAUGAUUGGGGCACUGAAGAAGUACAACCCUGUGUUCAUCUUGGUUGCAUUACCAACGGAUAGUUCCAGCAGCAACUUGUAUGUGGCGUUCAAGAGAUAUUUCGAGAUGAGGAUCGGGGUCAUUUCACAGUGCAUGAUCAAGCCUCGCCAGUUUAAUCCUCAGUACCUUUGGAACCUGGUUUUGAAAAUUAAUCAGAAGAUGGAAGGGUUCAACUCGCCAUUGACCUCAAAAAUUACGAGCUGCCUUGGUGGGGCGCCUACCAUUAUCUUUGGUAUCGACGUAUCUCACGGGUCCAUUGGAGAGAACUUCCCCUCUGUUGCAGCAGUGGUUGCAACGAAGAACUGGCCUGAUGUCUUUCAUUUCGCAACACGGGCAGGGACACAGCAAUCGAAGUUAAAGUUGAUCGAAGGGCUCUGGGAGCCUAAGAGCGCCAUGGUCAAAGACCUACUUCUGGAGUUUCACAGAACUUGCAGAGGCCCUGUGUGCAAACCCUCUCAAGUCACUGUCCACAGGGAUGGCGUCCGUGAGGGCCGGUUUGCUGAUUGCUUGAAGGAAGAGGUGAAUGCAUUUAAAAGAGUAUGUAGAGACAUCCAAGAGGACUAUAAUCCAGGAAUUACUUUUAUCGUCGUUCAGAAGAGGCAUAACACGCGUUUCUUUUCCCAGAGCAGAGACACCUAGCGAAAUGGCAACGCACAGUUAUUGAUAAAGAUAUCUGCCACCCUCACAACUACGACUACUUCCUCCUCAGUCAAGCUGUUCCAUUUCAGUAUCAUUCAAUUAUCACAUUGAAUGUUUUCAGCAUCCUUGAUUUUUCACGAUAUGAGGUGAUUUGUGCAGCUCAACCUCGAUUUCCACGGCGGCGCUCGCAGGCUAUGCCCACAUCGUGGCAGCACUUGGGAAGGAUCAGACACCAGCUCUUCGAGAAACAAUAAUAAAAUAAUUUAAAAUAAUGUAAAGGACACAGCGGCUCUUCGCGAAGGGGGUUCUCCUAAACUGAUUCCAUCUCUUCCAGAACUGAAGCUGAAGCCGGAUUUCUCCAUGUACUUCUGCUGACUUCUAUCCCACAUCCAGCACUCCGCACCUCAACUUUCCUCAGCAAGUUUAUUAACAGUCUGUAAAUGUGUCAAUUACCGGGGCUCCUGAAUCAUGGUCCUCCAAAUCAAUGGAUGCACUUGUUUUUUGAUACCAAAGGUAAUUGUAGACCUAGAUCGACAACUCUGUCAUAAAGUUUCUGAAAUACUUCACAACCGUUUCGAUAUUAUCUCAGUGGGAUCUUUUCUACCCACAAGUUUUGUGCAAGUUCAGUUCUACAAUGGAAAAUAGAAACAUGGGGUCUGUUGUUAAA